rnacentral:rRNA from 1 species
GAGUUUGAUCCUGGCUCAGAUUGAACGCUGGCGGAAUGCUUUACACAUGCAAGUCGAGCGGCAGCGCGGGGCAACCUGGCGGCGAGCGGCGAACGGGUGAGUAAUGCAUCGGAACAUGUCCAUGUCGUGGGGGAGUAGCCCGGCGAAAGCCGGAUUAAUACCGCAUACGCCCGAGAGGGGAAAGGUGGGGGACCGGCAAGGCCUCACGCGAUUGGGUUGGCCGAUGUCCGAUUAGCUAGUUGGCGGGGUAAGAGCCCACCAAGGCGAUGAUCGGUAGCUGGUCUGAGAGGAUGAUCAGCCACACUGGGACUGAGACACGGCCCAGACUCCUACGGGAGGCAGCAGUGGGGAAUUUUGGACAAUGGGGGAAACCCUGAUCCAGCCAUUCCGCGUGAGUGAAGAAGGGCCUUCGGGUUGU